rnacentral:rRNA from 1 species
GAUGAACGCUAGCGGCAGGCCUAACACAUGCAAGUCGAGGGGUAACUAGAGUGAUAGAAAUAUUACUUUGGCUAGACCGGCGCACGGGUGCGUAACACGUAUGCAACCUACCUUAUACUGGGGAAUAACUUCGAGAAAUCGGGGCUAAUACCCCAUAACAUUUCGAGGAGGCAUCUCUUUGCAAUUAAAGCUCCGGCGGUAUAAGAUGGGCAUGCUGCCAAUUAGCUAGUUGGUGAGGUAACGGCUCACCAAGGCAACGAUUGGUAGGGGGUCUGUGAGGAUCAUCCCCCACACUUGUACUGGGACACGUACCAGACUCCCACGGGAGGCAGCAGUGAGGAAUAUUGCGCAAUGGACGAAAGUCUGACGCAGCCAGGCCGCGUGCAGGAUGACGGCCCUAUGGGUUGUAAACUGCUUUUGUACGGGAAUAAACCCUUCUACGUGUAGGAGGCUGAAGGUACCGUAAGAAUAAGCACCGGCUAACUCCGUGCCAGCCGCCGCGGUAACAC